ACGGGUGAGUAACACGUGGAUGAUCUACCUUCUGGUGGGGAAUAACCCUGGGAAACCGGGGCUAAUACCGCAUAAGCUCGCGAGAGGAAAGCAGCAAUGCGCCGGAAGAGGAGUCCGCGGCCGAUUAGCUAGUUGGUGAGGUAAUGGCCCACCAAGGCAAAGAUCGGUAGCCGGCCUGAGAGGGCACACGGACACACUGGCACUGAAACACGGGCCAGACUCCUACGGGAGGCAGCAGUGGGGAAUCUUGCACAACUGGGGGAAACCCUGAUGCAGCGACGCCGCGUGAGCGAUGAAGCCCUUCGGGGUGUAAAGCUCUUUCGACAGGAA
rnacentral:rRNA from 1 species